rnacentral:rRNA from 1 species
AGCCUGACGCAGCAACGCCGCGUGGGCGAUGAAGGCCUUCGGGUUGUAAAGCCCUUUUCUGGGGGAAGAGGAAGGACGGUACCCCAGGAAUAAGUCCCGGCUAACUACGUGCCAGCAGCCGCGGUAAAACGUAGGGGGCAAGCGUUAUCCGGAUUCAUUGGGCGUAAAGCGCGUGCAGGUGGUGCUUUAAGUUGGGCGUGAAAUCUCCCGGCUUAACUGGGAGGGGUCGUUCAAUACUGAAGCACUUGAGGGCAGGAGAGGGAGGUGGAAUUCCCGGUGUAGUGGUGAAAUGCGUAGAUAUCGGGAGGAACACCAGUGGCGAAGGCGGCCUCCUGGCCUGCUCCUGACACUAAGACGCGAAAGCUAGGGGAGCGAACGGGAUUAGAUACCCCGGUAGUCCUAGCUGUAAACGAUGGAUACUAGGUGUGGGUGGCAUUGACCCCAUCCGUGCCGUAGCUAACGCGAUAAGUAUCCCGCCUGGGGACUACGGCCGCAAGGUUAAAACUCAAAG